CCGAAAUAGGAUAGAAAGUCGGGCUAUGCCCCUUUGGAUCACAAGUUUUGUUUCAUGCUUCUGACAACCGACAUUCAUUGGCAUAAAUUUAGUAGUGAAGAGUCUAAGCUCUAUUAGGUAUAUCAUUUGAAAUUUAACAUGAAGAUCUUAAGUUGGGAAAACAAAAGACUGAUAUGAGUAAUUGCUACAGCGGAAGUCUAACAUAGAAAUUUAUCGCUAGCCUCAGCUCCGUCCCGUCAGCACCGGCCAGCCAACCUGAAAACAUUUGAAAGUAUUUUGGGCUAAGUACUAAUGUACUUAGUGGGCAUGCAUUUUCUGAACAUUUCAUAUUUUAAUAAAGACAGUUUAUCCAAUCAUACUUGACAUGACUUAGAAGGUUUUAAAUUGAAAGAAGUACUUCUAAGCAUGUUAAAACAUUUUCUUUCAUUUGUGCGCACAUGUCACACUCCCUUUCUGUUACUCGCUGUGAUCCCGGACCUCUAGCCACCGACGGAUCUCUAUCUCCCGCUGACUUGAACUGAGGGCGUAACCCAGACAAGUUUACUUUGACCUCGGGACGCUACCCAGGCAGGCCUGAUAUUUCUCAUGCUCCGGAACACAUCCAGCCGAGCACCCUUAUAACGCCUCUGGUUAGAGCCCGAUGGAGAUCAACCCACCGAGUCAACUAACAAGUGUACACAAUUCUCAAACAACGUAUUAGGUCAUAAGAGAACCUCAAUUGAUUAACUGCGCGAGCCUUAAACAGAGCAGAGUGCACAUAAACAUUUUAUUGGAUAAACAGUUUUCAUUACAUUAAAUAAACAAUUUGCAUUUCAUUGAAACAUUUAGAGCUUAAUAACUCAAUCAUACUUUGUACAUUUGGAAAGUAAGCCCACCUGGUUAGGCAAAGCCUGAAGAUCAUAAUCACAUAUAAACCUGUCUUGGGAAAGCAGCGCUAAUCCCCCUGGUCACAAAGCCUACAAGAAAUUCUAUUCUUAAUAGGUCUCGUGAAGCUAAUCUUAAGUCAUGGUGUAGUGCUUAAUAUUCUAUGAUUCACUUAGCCGGGUUUUCAAAAUUUAGUAAAUAAAUAAUUGAAAACUAAAUUCUUGAGUUAAGGACACCAACAAUAUCCUUACUCGAUUUUCUUUAAAUAAUUGGAAUUAUAAUUAAAACCAAUUAAAUACUUUUAUUGCAAAAUAAAUGCAAUUUCAUGUCAUGCUUAACAUAUAAUAAGUAAUUUACUUAAAAUAUGCACAUAAUAAUAAUUUAAUAUUAUUAUGAAAAUUAUCCUUUAAAUAAAUUAAUCAAACUAAUAAUAGUUCAAUUAAUUAAAAAUAAGAAAGCCCAAUUUAAUAAAAAUAAUAAUAGGGCCCAUCUUUUAAAUAAUUGAAUUAAGGCCCAUCACAAUUAUUAAAACCAAGGGCCCAACUAAUUUAAUAAACAAAACUCGGCCCACUAAAUAAAAUAAAGUCGGCCCAAUAAAUCGGCCCAAGCCCCCAACACUUAAACCUACUACCCUCUUCACCCCCCAUCAGACGCACACACACAAAACAACACACACACACACACGCAGCGGCGCUGCAACACCCUCUUCUCACCCCCUCUCUUCUUUUCCGGUAGCGGUAGCAGCGCCACCUCCACCGCCCGACCGCCGGCGCCCUCUUGCUUCUCAACCCCUCCCAUUGUCUCUCUCUUUCUCCCUCACGACUGCUCGUCUCUUUCCCUCAGAAUUUCACCGCCGCCGGAGCUCGCCGGGGCAAGCGUCGAUAGGCUCCAACUCCCUCUUUCUUCCCCCUCUUUCGGCGACUGCAACGACAGCCACCGCCCCAACCCCUGUUCUCUCUCCUCCUUGGCGACGACGUAGACGCCGCCGCCUCCCUCGGCCUCCCUCUGUGCAACAUCCGGCGACAGCAGCCAUGGCUGCCGCCGUCGACUCUCCCCUGACUCACAGACGCUCACACACACAAACCAUGACUCCCUCCCCUCUCAGUUUUUCGCCCUUGGCCGGACAGCAGCGGCACCGCCGCCGUGCCCUGCUUCCCUCCACUCUCUCAUCCGCCUCAGUCAGCUUCUCCCUCAACUCGCCAGCCGACCGACAGUGGCGCCGAGCCACCGCCUUCGACCAGAGCCCAGACUCGACAGACAAGGAAACAAAAUCAAAGCUCAAACUUUUCUUUCUUCUUUUCAACAAGAAUGUUUCAUGAAUAUAGAAAUACAUAUUUGUAUGCUCAUGUAUGUAAAUGUCAUUUUGUUUCAAAAACUUAGAUACACGAAACUGAAUUUGCUAUAUGGGAAAUACAGUAGCGUGUGAUUCAAUUGAAUGGCUAGGAAAUCUUAACAUGAUAUCAAAUGGGUUUGCUCAAUCAAAAGGGAAAUAAAGCGACGAGUUAAAGUUUGAACCUUUAGAAUUUCACUUCAAUUUCUGAAAUGGUUGGCUGCUGAGUUUGCUUGGUUGCUCUGGCUCUUGAACUUUGUUGGGGUGAUGGAAACGAAGAGAGUGUGUGAGAUGAAGUGGAAAGCAUGAUUGAAAUUCCUAGUGAUGAAUGAGGUGUGAUGCAUGUAUGAUAGUGAUGAAUGAGGUGUAAUGCAGGUAUGGGAGGUGGGUAAGUGGGUAGGUGGCUGAUGGAUAUCAUAGGGAGGUGGGUAAUUGAGGUUGUUGAUUUGACAAAUAAAAUUCUAUCUGAUAAAAUUGUCGAAACUGUAAUAAUUCUUCAGGAUUUGCUAAUUAAAAGCUCGUGAAAAUGCUUGAAUGCUAAAUUAAAUAAAUAUGCAAUGCAUAUAAAUUCAAUAACUAAUUUUACAAAUGUUUUUGUAAAUCAUUUUUGUUGGAAUUAAAAAUAAAUUCUUUUUCUUUAUAUCCGGCGUGAAUCAUCUUAAAUCUAAGUUUAAAAAAAAAAAUAUUCUGAACUUAGCUCGAGGAAACGGGGUAUUACA
rnacentral:lncRNA from 1 species